GGAAGAGAUAACCGCUGAAAGCAUCUAAGCGGGAAACUCGCCUUAAGAUGAGAUAUCCCUGGGGACUAGAUCCCCUUGAAGGGUCGUUCGAGACCAGGACGUUGAUAGGUCAGGUGUGUAAGCGCAGUAAUGCGUUCAGCUAACUGAUACUAAUUGCCCGUAAGGCUUGAUCCUAUAACG
rnacentral:rRNA from 1 species